rnacentral:rRNA from 1 species
CUUCUUGAUUUAUAAGAGGUCGUGCCUGCUCACUGAAGAAUUGAAGAGCCGCGGUAUUUUGACCGUGCAAAGGUAGCAUAAUCAUUAGUUUUUUAAUUGGGAACUGGAAUGAAUGGUUUGACGAAGCAGUAACUGUCUUGUGCUUAUAAAUUGAAUUUUACUUUUAAGUUAAAAGGCUUAAAUAAUGUUAGGGGACGAGAAGACCCUAUAGAUCUUUAUAUUAUUUAGUUUAAUUUAGUUUUGGGUGUUAUUAUUGAUGUUAAAUUGAUUAAUAUUUCGUUGGGGUGACGUGAGAAUUAAUAAUCUUCUUGUUAUUAUACUUUAAUGUAUGGAUAAGUGAUCCUUUUUUAUGGAAGAAAGAUUAAGAUACCUUAGGGAUAACAGCGUUAUUUUAUUUGAGAGUUCUUAUUGACAAUGAAGAUUGCGACCUCGAUGUUGGAUUAAAAUUAUAAAUUGGUGCAAAAGCUGAUUUUGUUGGUCUGUUC